CCUAGAGGCAUUGCAGAUAUGACUGCUCAGUCACAUGUGGCCAAGAGAAGAGGUCUGUGUUCAGUGUUCUGACUUAAUGAACAUCUGAAUGAUUAGUAGCCUAACAUU
ensembl:snoRNA LOC120094935 small nucleolar RNA SNORA17